rnacentral:sRNA from 1 species
UGGAGGCCGCCAGCUCGGGCUGGUGCCGUUCCCGCCGCCGCCGCCGCCGCCGCGGACGCCGCUGCUGUGGCUGCUGCUGCUGCUGCUGCUGGCCGCCGUGGCGCCGGCGAGCGGCUGGGAGAGCGGAGACCUGGAGUUGUUUGACUUGGUGGAGGAGGUGCAGCUCAACUUCUACCAGUUCCUCGGGGUGCAGCAGGAUGCAUCAUCUGCAGACAUCAGAAAAGCAUAUCGUAAGCUUUCACUAACUUUACAUCCAGACAAGAAUAAAGAUGAAAAUGCAGAAACUCAGUUUAGACAAUUGGUGGCCAUUUAUGAAGUUUUAAAGGAUGAUGAACGAAGGCAGAGGAUGAACUACUAAGUAGAAAAAAGAGA